GUCAGAAGACAACUUGUGGAAUUGGUUUUCUCUUUCUACCACAUAGGUUCCAGGCAUCAGACUUAGGUUGUCUGUCUGUCUGUCUUGUCAGGAAUCAGCUUUACCAUGGACUGGAGAGAUGGCUCAGUGGUUAAGAGCACUGGCUGCUCUUCCAGAGGAUCCAGGUUUAAUGCCCAGCACCCACAUGGCAGCUCUGUGGCUCCAGUUCCAGGGAAUCUGACACCCUUACCUUUUAUACUCUCAGUUCCCAUCCAUGCACAGCAGGCCACGCCCCCUCGCCAGUCACGAGGCUUCAGCUAAUCAGGGCAGCAGGGGCAAAUCUCCACCAAAUUGGAUUCACCUGAAUCCUGGUACACCUGCGCAGCACUCAAGAUGUUUGUGUCUUAUAUGAGGAAGUCAGGUGCAAGUCAUAUGACUUAGCUGCAGUCCCUGGCGCCUUUGGGACUGCCGCCACACCCGCUCCCCACACUUACACAUACACACAGGCAGGCAAACACCAA
rnacentral:lncRNA from 1 species